UACGUAGGGGGCAAGCGUUGUCCGGAAUCAUUGGGCGUAAAGCGCGUGUAGGCGGCUUGGUAAGUCUGCUCUGAAAGCCCGGGGCUCAACCCUGGGAGGCGGGUGGAUACUGCUGAGCUCGAGUCCGGAAGAGGCGAGUGGAAUUCCUGGUGUAGCGGUGAAAUGCGCAGAUAUCAGGAGGAACACCAAUGGCGAAGGCAGCUCGCUGGGACGGUACUGACACUGAGGAGCGAAAGCGUGGGGAGCGAACAGG
rnacentral:rRNA from 1 species